GAUGAACGCUGACAGAAUGCUUAACACAUGCAAGUCUACUUGAAUUUGGGUUUUUUAACUUAGAUUUGGGUGGCGGACGGGUGGGUAACGCGUAAAGAACUUGCCUCACAGCUAGGGACAACAUUUGGAAACGAAUGCUAAUACCUGAUAUUAUGAUUAUAAGGCAUCUUAGAAUUAUGAAAGCUAUAUGCGCUGUGAGAGAGCUUUGCGUCCCAUUAGCUAGUUGGAGAGGUAACGGCUCACCAAGGCGAUGAUGGGUAGCCGGCCUGAGAGGGUGAACGGCCACAAGGGGACUGAGACACGGCCCUUACUCCUACGGGAGGCAGCAGUGGGGAAUAUUGGACAAUGGACCAAGAGUCUGAUCCAGCAAUUCUGUGUGCACGAUGACGUUUUUCGGAAUGUAAAGUGCUUUCAGUUGGGAAGAAAAAAAUGACGGCACCAACAGAAGAAGUGACGGCUAAAUACGUG
rnacentral:rRNA from 1 species